rnacentral:misc_RNA from 1 species
UUGAAGCAAAGAUGUGGAGGUUCGUGGAAACUGGUAUUGAGGUUUUUAGUGGCUGGAGAAACAUGUUGCAGGAGGGAAAAAUCCAUGGCAAUAGCAGGACCUGGUCACAGCAUCGCUGUCACAUCAAAAGGAGCUGUUUACUCCUUUGGAUCCAACAGCUCUGGACAGCUUGGACAUGGUACCACUGAAGAGGAAUCACGGCCUCGCCUCAUCAGAUCCCUGCAAGGAAUUCGAAUAAUUCAGGCAG